CCUACGGGAGGCAGCAGUGGGGAAUAUUGCACAAUGGGCGAAAGCCUGAUGCAGCGACGCCGCGUGAGCGAAGAAGGCCUUCGGGUCGUAAAGCUCUGUCCUAUGGGAAGAAAGAUGACGGUACCAUAGGAGGAAGCCCCGGCUAACUACGUGCCAGCAGCCGCGGUAAUACGUAGGGGGCGAGCGUUGUCCGGAAUGACUGGGCGUAAAGGGUACGUAGGCGGCUAGAUAAGUCAGAUGUGAAAGGCAUAGGCUUAACCUGUGUAAGCAUUUGAAACUGUCUAGCUUGAGUCAAGGAGAGUAAAGUGGAAUUCCUGGUGUAUCGGUGAAAUUCGUAUAUAUCAGGAGGAAUACCAGUUGCUAAGACUACUUUCUGAACUUAGACUGACUCUGAGGUACUAAAUCGUGGGGAGCAAACAGAAUUAGAUACCCCAGUAGUC
rnacentral:rRNA from 1 species